CAGAGGACAUGAUUUUUAUAAAAUAUUAUUGAUAUACAUACAAAACCAUAUAUGUAUUAUAUUUUAUGCUGAGCUAUGACAAAAU